AUAUCUAAACUCCUUGGUUUCUUAAAAAUUUUAUUUCCAAAACCGAAACCUCCAGAAGGUUCGGGUUCGAUUUUCCAAAAUUUUAGUGAACCGAAACCAACCGAAGGUUCAGGUUCGGUUUUUCAAAAUUUUUUCUGAACCGAAACCAACCGAAGGUUCGGGUUCGGUUUCUCAAAAUUUUUCUGAACCGAAACCAACCGAAGGUUCGGGUUCGGUUUUUCAAAAUUUUUCUGAACCGAAACCAACCGAAGGUUCGGGUUCGGUUUUUCAAAAUUUUCCUCAACCGAAACCAACCGAACGCUCGGGUUCGGUUUUUCCAUUUUUUUUU
rnacentral:lncRNA from 1 species